rnacentral:rRNA from 1 species
AUUGAACGCUGGCGGCAUGCCUUACACAUGCAAGUCGAACGGUAACGGGCCUUCGGGUGCCGACGAGUGGCGAACGGGUGAGUAAUGCAUCGGAACGUACCUUUCAGUGGGGGAUAAUGUAGCGAAAGUUACGCUAAUACCGCAUAUUCUGUGAGCAGGAAAGCAGGGGAUCGCAAGACCUUGCGCUAAUUGAGCGGCCGAUGUCAGAUUAGCUAGUUGGUGAGGUAAAGGCUCACCAAGGCGACGAUCUGUAGCGGGUCUGAGAGGAUGAUCCGCCACACUGGGACUGAGACACGGCCCAGACUCCUACGGGAGGCAGCAGUGGGGAAUUUUGGACAAUGGGGGCAACCCUGAUCCAGCCAUGCCGCGUGAGUGAAGAAGGCCUUCGGGUUGUAAAGCUCUUUCGGCCGGGAAGAAAUCGCACAGGCUAAUACCUUGUGUGGAUGACGGUACCGGAAUAAGAAGCACCGGCUAACUACGUGCCAGCAGCCGCGGUAACAC